rnacentral:lncRNA from 1 species
UUGUGACCCUUUUAUUAUAUCAUUCAUAUGAUCAAAGUGUAGAUAAACGAAAGGUAUAUGUAUAUAUUUAUUGUGGUAUCCUAGUGUAUGAAAGAAUAUAAUGGAGCUCUUGAAUACUUGACUCUAGAGACACAAAAUAGAAGGGAGAGAGAGUUGUUGAGGCAUGGAGAUUAUGAUAUACAAAGCUCUCAGAAAUAGAUUACCUGCACACGCGUGAUGGAUGGAAUAAUGAAAAUUAGGAGAGCAGCCCAGCCCUUAUGAAGUUUCGUGGGAUCAGCCACUCAGUUGUGACGAAGGAGAGGAGAUGGAGAAGAAAAUAAACGAAGACAUGGGCAAGAAUUACUCUUAUAUCGAUCCUCAAUUCCACUCUGAGUUCAACAACGACUAACAAUUAUAACUCCGAAAUAUAUCCUCUAGGCUACUCUUCGCCUUUUAUGAGCUCACACGAAUGUUCAUUCUGGUUUUGAAAUUAAUUGAUUAUAGUAGAUAAGAAAGUUCAUUACUAAGGAUUUAAAUAAUAAUGACAACUCCUUAGGAAAAGAAAAUUCAUUUUUUCCUCCAAAAAAACGGGCCAGCUAAAAAAUACAGCCCAUUUUUAUCACUAGUGAUAACCAAAUUUAUUGAAGGAGAAAGUGAAUGCUAAAAUUUCCCCCUUUUAUCCAUUUCUCUGGCUCUGAAACUUUUUACAUUGCGUACAAACUGAGAAAAUAUCACGACCUCCAAGUACCAACAAUCUUCUAUUAUUGAAAGUUAAUACAAAUUUUGAAAGAAUCUUAUUCAAAAUUUUGGAUGACUCAAGACUCCACAUACAACAAUUCUCAAGACUCCAUAUACCACAAUUUGAUAACUACAUAUUGAUUUAAGCGUAACAAGUGCACUAGUUUAAGAAGCGGCCCCACACCAAGGGCAUUAUUACUCCUGAUUGAUGCAUAACUAUUAAUUGUAUUCCUUAGGGGAUAGAAGCAGACCAUUAUUUCAUAAAAUAUUGCUUAGAUAUCAAUGAUAACAGUUUUAUCCAAUUUACAAAUUAUUUUUGUCAGCAUUUGAUAUGUUCACUUAUGGUCUGAAUUAUUGGCCUUAUUGUUGAUUUACUGAUUUGUAAUUACAGUUUGACUA